rnacentral:lncRNA from 1 species
UCUUUUUCCUUUCUUGCCCCAGAACCCAUACCUAAUCCUCAAAUUCUGAUUAAUUCAUCAUCCAAUACAUCAGGUUGAUACAAUAUCAGCCUGGAGUGUGGGACUCCAGGGGCCACAGAGAACCUAACUGUGACCUGGCUGAGCAAGGUCCUCCCAAGGAAGCUGGAGCAGAGAGGGACACUGGUGCCAGCCCCCAACUCCAGGAAGCUAAACAUGAGCCUUCCUCUGACCCAGCUGAAUGGUCACCUCACCUGUAUAGUGAGCAACCCUGCAGACCAGAAUGCAAACUUUGAACUAGAAAGCAUCUGUCCUUAGAGAGGUAAUGACAUGGAGAAGAGAAGCUGCCAUGCACAGAGCCCCAUGCUGGCUCCAGCAGUCCACACUGUGUAUGAAAAGAUCUGGACAAGCCCAGAGCUCCGGG